CAUGACCUGAGCUGAAACCAAGAGUUGGAUGCUUACCUGACUGAGCCACUCAGGUGCCCCAGGUACUGAAUCCAUCUCAAAUAAAUAACGGUUGAAUGUGAAUUUUUUUGGCUUUCUUGGAGUAACUGAAAUAAACUUAUAGAUCGGAUAAUUCACUGAUUUCAAAGAAGCACUGUUCAAUUUAGUAUUUCUCCAAGCAAUUGCAGGUGUUCAAAAGAAUACAGGAGAGUACAUAAAUCAAAAUGAAGACAAGAACAAAAUGCCAUUUCUUACCUUGGUUUAGGGGAAUAAUUUUUAAAAUUCUCAAAUUUCUUGAAAUUCUAAAUAUUGGAAUGAAGUAUAGGGUGUUCUACCUAAAAAGCCGUUUGCCACACUCCAACCCUCAAGUAUUCCUAGAGAACUAAUGUAAUAUGGAGAAAUCUAUAUCCUGAUCCUGAUGGCUCAUGAAGAUACAUUUAAAGAAACUUGAGUUAAUGAAUAUAAAAAAGGUUAAUUUUAUUUCUUUUUUUUUUUUGGUUAAUUUUAUUUCAAAGCAAAUAAGGUGUGAGAUUACAAUAGUAAAAAUGAGCCAAUUCAUGUAAAUAUUUUAUUAAUCACUAGUAAUACCAUAGAUUAUAAUAGAUGCACGGAUAUACAUAUGUACACAUAUACAUAUAUAUAUCUAUGCACAUAUAUAUAUGUACAGUGAAAGUGUCUAUGUGUGUAUGUCUUUGUGUGUGUAUGCAUAUAUAUUCACAUAUAUACUUUUACUAUAUAUACAUAUUUAUUUGGAAAAUUCAUUUAUUAUGGUGUGAGUACAAAUACAUUAUACACAAUGAAUAUUAUGUCCAUAAUACAACAUAGUAUAUAACAUAUAGUAUACAAUGUAAUGUGAUAUAAUGUACUAAAUGAUAUAUGUAAAAAUAAUCUAUUAUAUACUUAAGUAUUAUAUUGUAUGUGUUAUAUAAUUAAGUAUUAGAGGUACCUAUGGUGACUAUA